rnacentral:rRNA from 1 species
UACGUAGGGUGCGAGCGUUACUCGGAAUUACUGGGCGUAAAGCGUGCGCAGGCGGUUUGUUGUGUCGGUGGUGAAAUCCCCGGGCUUAACCUGGGAAUGGCCAUGGAAACUGGCGAACUGGAGUGUGGCAGAGGGGGGUGGAAUUCCGCGUGUAGCAGUGAAAUGCGUAGAGAUGUGGAGGAAUACCGAUGGCGAAGGCAGCCCCCUGGGAUGACACUGACGCUCAUGCACGAAAGCGUGGGGAGCAAACAGG